GAAAAACAAAAAUAUGCUGAGUAGUAUGAUCCAUACCUAAGGAUAACUAAAAUCUGUUGAUAACUUUAAACCAGAGACAUGAAUACCUGGUUCCCGUGCUGCCGUUCUUCCCUGCCUCAUUCAUCGGGGGUGUGGACUAUCUAUCUCUUAGGGCCUUCUUUCCUUCAAAUCUUAGGCUCUAGAGUACUCAACGCUGCAGACUCCAGGUAGCAUUCAAGAUGAAACUUAAUUAUUGAGGAAAAGAAACAAAGAGAGGAAGCAGAGCGAGAGAGACUGAGAAUUGCAGAAGAAAAAGAAGAAAGACGGCUUGCAGAACAGAGGGCACGAAUUCAGCAGGAGUAUGAAGAGGAACAGGAAAAGAAAAGAGAGAAAGAGGAGGAGCAAAGGCUAAAAAAUGAAGAGCAUAUUCGGUUAGCUGAAGAAAGACAAAAAGAAGCAGAAAGAAAGAAGAAAGAAGAAGAAGAAAAAUAUAACCUGCAACUUCAGCACUACUGUGAAAGAGACAAUUUGAUUGGGGAAGAAACAAAGCGCAUGAGACAGCCUUCUCCUAUAGUUCCUGCUCUUCAGAACAAAAUUGCAAGCAAACUCCAAAGACCUCCUUCAGUUGACAGCAUCAUACGUUCCUUUAUUCAUGAAAGUUCCAUGUCCAGGGCACAGUCACCCCCGGUACCUGCCAGGAAAAAUCAGCUCCGUGCAGAAGAGGAGAAAAAAAAUGUAAUUAUGGAAUUAUCAGAAAUGAGAAAACAGCUUCGUAGUGAAGAGAGGCGUCUACAAGAGCGAUUGCUACACAUGGACAGUGAUGAUGAAAUUCCUAUCAGGAAAAAGGAAAGGAAUCCCAUGGAUAUAUUUGAUAUGGCUAGACAUCGGUUGCAAGCUCCUGUCAGAAGACAGUCCCCUAAGGGCUUAGACGCUGCCACUUUUCAGAAUAUUCAUGAUUUUAAUGAGCUGAAAGAUAGAGAUUCAGAAACACGAGUUGAUCUGAAAUUUAUGUACCCGGAUCCUCCAAGAGAUCAUCACACCUUAGAGAUUCAGCAGCAAGCCCUGCUAAGAGAGCAGCAGAAGAGGCUGAACAGAAUAAAAAUGCAGGAAGGUGCCAAAGUUGACUUAGAUGCCAUCCCAAGUGCUAAAGUACAAGAGCAAAGAAUGCCCAGAGAUGACACUAGUGAUUUCUUGAAAAACUCAUUAUUGGAAUCUGAUAGUGCUUUUAUUGGGGCUUACGGUGAGACAUAUCCUGCCAUUGAAGAUGACGUCCUCCCUCCACCAUCACAGUUGCCCUCUGCACGGGAGCGCAGGAGGAACAAAUGGAAAGGACUAGACAUUAUGAUGAGAGUUCACUGGUUGACCCUGAUGACAUCAUGAAACACAUAGGGGAUGACGGAUCAAACUCUGUAGCAACUGAGCCCUGGCUCCGCCCUGGCACUUCAGAAACACUGAAACGUUUCAUGGCAGAGCAGCUG
rnacentral:sRNA from 1 species